rnacentral:rRNA from 1 species
UCAGUAACACGUAGUCAACAUGCCCAGGGGACGUGGAUAACCUCGGGAAACUGAGGAUAAACCGCGAUAGGUCACUACUUCUGGAAUGGGUAAUGACCCAAACCUAUAUGGCCCCUGGAUUGGACUGCGGCCGAUCAGGCUGUUGGUGAGGUAAUGGCCCACCAAACCUGUAACCGGUACGGGCUCUGAGAGGAGGAGCCCGGAGAUGGGCACUGAGACAAGGGCCCAGGCCCUAUGGGGCGCAGCAGGCGCGAAACCUCUGCAAUAGGCGAAAGCUUGACAGGGUUACUCUGAGUGAUUUCCGUUAAGGAGAUCUUUUGGCACCUCUAAAAAUGGUGCAGAAUAAGGGGUGGGCAAGUCUGGUGCCAGCC